rnacentral:misc_RNA from 1 species
AACGGUCUAUACCUGCGGUACCUGCGGAGGGAUCAUCAUUGGAUUUAUAAUUUUUAAUUGUGAAAAGAUUUUCGGGUCUUUUAAUUAAAUUUAAAUGACUUGAAUUCUUUUUGCAAAAAACAAACAAAAAACUUUGACACCCAAAAAGUGAUGAAGUGAAUGAAAUGAUCUUUUCAAGGUCAUUCAUUCAUUCAUUCAGAAAAAGAAAAUGUGGUUGCCUGAUUAUAUAAGUGAUUGGUA